rnacentral:misc_RNA from 1 species
AGAAAAUCGAAAGUUGAAGCACAGUGGGAGAUUAUAGAGAUGACGCUCAAAUUAUACGUAGAUCGUAUGUCUCAAGCUUGUCGUGAAGUUAUAAUCUUCUGCAAGUUAAAUGGGAUAGACUUUGAGGAAGUUCAUAUAGAUCUCUCCAAACGCCAGCAAUUGUCUCCUGAAUAUCGAGAAAUUAAUCCCAUCCGGCAAAUACCAGCUAUAAUGGAU